AUUGAACGCUGGCGGCAGGCCUAACACAUGCAAGUCGAGCGGAUGAGUGGAGCUUGCUCCAUGAUUCAGCGGCGGACGGGUGAGUAAUGCCUAGGAAUCUGCCUGGUAGUGGGGGACAACGUUUCGAAAGGAACGCUAAUACCGCAUACGUCCUACGGGAGAAAGUGGGGGAUCUUCGGACCUCACGCUAUCAGAUGAGCCUAGGUCGGAUUAGCUAGUUGGUGAGGUAAAGGCUCACCAAGGCGACGAUCCGUAACUGGUCUGAGAGGAUGAUGAGUCACACUGGAACUGAGACACGGUCCAGACUCCUACGGGAGGCAGCAGUGGGGAAUAUUGGACAAUGGGCGAAAGCCUGAUCCAGCCAUGCCGCGUGUGUGAAGAAGGUCUUCGGAUUGUAAAGCACUUUAAGUUGGGAGGAAGGGCAGUAAGUUAAUACCUUGCUGUUUUGACGUUACCAACAGAAUAAGCACCGGCUAACUUCGUG
rnacentral:rRNA from 1 species